CUGGUAGCACAUAUACUAAAAUUGGAAGGAUAGAGAGAAGAUUAGCAUGGCCCCUGUACAAGAAUGACAUGAAAAUUCGUGAACAGUUCCAUAUAUUU
ensembl:snRNA U6 U6 spliceosomal RNA